rnacentral:lncRNA from 1 species
UGACAAGGAAAGGCCAUGUUAUGUUCACCCUGGGUUAAGUUUUAAGUGUAUCUUAUUUAAUUUUUUUCAAUAUGAGUCAUCUCCAGAUACUGUGAUGAUUUCCAAAUAACCAGAAUCUAGAUGACUAGAAAUUUACUCUAGCUGGCUUUAGACAGGAAGCGUGAGGACAGAAUCCAGCUGCUUCCACUCCAGGGUAGGUCUGAAGCCAACCGUCCUCGGUUUCCUGGCCUGUGGCAUCAGUCUGGUUGGAUUACACACAAAGCCCUGCAGAUCUGCUGCUUUUCCUGAUUCUCCUGUCCUGAGUGAGUGCAAGGGGCUCCCCUGUCGUCGAUGUGUUCUUUGAAGCAGAUGCUGUGCCUGAUACCUGCUGGAGAGUCCCACCGCCUUGAGAGAGACUGAUCACCUGCAUAAUCACUGCUGAAAGGUCAUGUAAGGUGGAGACAGAAAAGUAUACAUGGAUUUGGCAAAAAAAAGGAUUUGCUGGGGAAGAGGGGGUGAAACUCUGAAUUGAGUGAGGAGAGAAAGGGGAAAGAAAUUGAAGACAGAACAGACACUGCUUUCUAGAAAUAAAGCUAUAGCUGGAGGGGGAAAUGAGGUCAAGAGAGAUUUCCUUAUUUGUUAAGAUGGGAAAAAUAAUAGCCCAUCCGUGUACUUGUUGAUAGAAAUAAUUUGGUAGAAAGAGAAAAAUUGAUGAUGCAAGAGAGAAUGAGAAGGAAUUUGGUGGGGUAGAAAGAAGGCUAGAACCUACUGCUCAAAGAGAGGGUUUGGCUAUGGUGAGGGAGAAUCUAUCUACAUGACAGGACAUUGACCAGGCACGGAGGUAUGCUCUUGUAGUUUUCAUACUUUGUAAUAAAAGAAACAUCAAUUUUAAAAACUCAACAACAAAUAGAACAUGAAAAUAGUCUGUCUACUUAAAACCUUAAAACAUUACAGAUGAAACUAAAGUCUCCUUUGGUGAUGUUGUGGGAUUUUAUUUAUUUUGAUGUCUGAGAACUAUUCCAUUGUAUGGAUAUACCAUAGGUUGUUCAUCCAUUCACCUGUUGAGGGAAAUUUGUUUUGUUUUCCACAUUGGCUGUGACAAACACAACUGCUGUAAACAUUUGUGUACAUGUUUUUGUAUGGAUGUAAGUUUUUCUUUUGUCUAAAGUAAAUAGUUAAUUUACUGCUGGGUGAUAUGGUAACUGUAUGCUUACCCUUAUAAGAAACUGUCAAACUUUCUCCAAAGUGACCAUACAAUCCAUUUUGCAUUUCCGCCAGCAAUGUAUGCAUGAGAGACCAGUUGAUCCUCAUCCUUUCCCCUGCUGGUAUUGUCAGUAUUUUUAGUUUAGCUGCUCUAACAUGUGAGUCAUGGUGUCUCCUCAUAGCUUUAAUUUGCAUGUCCCUAAUGACUAAUGAUGCUGAGCAUCUUUCCGUGUGCUCAUUCUUUUCUCCACUUCUUAAUCGGAUUCUUUGUUUUCUUACUGUUGAGUUUAGAGCCACCUUUAUACAUUCUAGGUACAACCUUUUAGAUCAAAUAUGUAAUUUGCAAAUAUUUUCUCCCAGUCUAUAUCUGGUCUUUUCAUCCUCUUUAACAAUAUAUUUUGCAGAAUAAAAGUAUUUUGAUGACUUCUGGGUCGAGAAAGGCCAAGUUGCACACUACUGAGAGACUGCCAUGCACCCCCUGGAGGCCUCAGAACAUUCGACAUGCUUCAGUCAUGGCCACGGCAGUGACUGCUGAUUGCCUAACCCCACAUGUGUUCUCCCCCUUCCCUGAUAAUCAAGCCCCUGAUUUUCAGCUGGGCACAAAAUAAUUCUUCCUAGAACAACUCCAUGUGUGUUAUCGCCCUUGCAGCUGGGGGUGGCCACCACUGGGGAGAGGCAGGGUGAAGAGGUGGAAGGAGCCUGAGUUAGCAGGGAUGAGCAGUGGCCAGGUAACCCCAGACCCACUAUCCUCUGGAUUUCUUUUAUGUGAAACAAUAAAAUGUCUUGUAUU